UAGGGAAUUUUCCACAAUGGGCGAAAGCCUGAUGGAGCAACGCCGCGUGCAGGAUGAAUGCCUUCGGGUUGUAAACUGCUUUUAUCUGUGACGAAUAUGACGGUAGCAGAUGAAUAAGGAUCGGCUAACUCCGUGCCAGCAGCCGCGGUCAUACGGAGGAUCCAAGCGUUAUCCGGAAUUACUGGGCGUAAAGAGUUGCGUAGGUGGCAUUGUAUGUCGAUAGUGAAAGCGUGUGGCUCAACCAUAUACACAUUAUCGAAACUGCAAAGCUAGAGGACGAGAGAGGUUAUUGGAAUUCCCAGUGUAGGAGUGAAAUCCGUAGAUAUUGGGAGGAACACCGAUGGCGUAGGCAGAUAACUGGCUCGUUCCUGACACUAAGGCACGAAAGCGUGGGUAGCAAACGGGAUUAGAUACCCCCGUAGUCC
rnacentral:rRNA from 1 species